UUUUUUUUUCAAAAAAGAAAAAAGAAAACAGUGCAUGUUCUCUUACCAUUUUUUUAUUUUAAAAUUAGUAUUAAAUGCUAUUCAUUAUCAUUAAUCCUUUUGGAUCAUUGAAAGCUGGAACAAAAUCUUGACUGUUGUUUUGGUGGGUAAGGCCUCAAUUUUGGAAUUCUAAAUUUAUACAUUAAUAGUGCAGUAUGGACUCUUGAGGAUUACCGAGUAUAGUUUAGAAUCUGUACCAACAGGAGCAGGGGCAAAUUUAGAAAUUUAAUUUAUUUCAGAUUCUUCCUUAUAAUAUAGUCUAUAAUAAAAAUUAACAAUCCAUAAAAUUGACUCAAAUGUCAAAUUUCUUUAUAAACCCCCCCGGCCAAACAAAAUUUUUAAAAAUAUUAAUUAUAUGAAAAUAAAUAUAUAUAUAUUUUUUUUGGUUGAGUGAGGUCAAUUGUUCGCACUAAUGUCUAUGUAGAUAUGCCCCUAAAUAGAAAGUGAGACUUCUACCCCACAUAUAAGAAUACACUACUAGAAAAAUGAUUUACUAUGACAGAUUUUUUGUGAUAGAUAAUAAAAAAUUAGUUAUUUAUCAAGAAUGUAUGAUAGACAUUUGAC
rnacentral:lncRNA from 1 species